rnacentral:lncRNA from 1 species
AACCUUUGCUGUCUUGGAACAGAUCACCACUGCAAGAGGGGAAGUUGCUACUGUGAUGAAUUCUGCCAUGUGGUACCAGACUGCUACCCAGACCACAGUGUCCUCUGCAACCCUCGUAACUCACAUACAGGCCUGAUUCCACCUACAGCAAAGCUGGAUGCUAUGGUUGGCAGAGGCAAACCCUUUGCCUGCACUUCAGGCCAAAGCCGGGAUGUGGCCUAGAUGGUUCCUAAGGUCCCUGACAAUCCUGAGAUCUUGCAUCUUGUCUAUUUCAGGUCAAAGCUUCUCAGAUGACCAAGAUGGUGCUGCAGAUGGUGCUGAGGAUGGAGAACCCACCAAGCCCCGCUAGGAGCCACCUAGACUGGAUGUAGAGCAUGGACAAUUUGCUGAGGUCUGGGAGCACCCCCUCCAGAGAGUCCCUGAUCUCUCAAAACUUGGUCGUGAUCUAAAGUUUAUUUGAUGUACAACUCCCC